CAGGAGGCAAACCGGGGGAACUGAAACAUCUAAGUACCCCGAGGAAGAGAAAUCAACCGAGAUUCCGAAAGUAGCGGCGAGCGAAAUUGGAUUAGCCCUUAAGCUUUUAAUGAGACAGAUGAAGGCUCUGGAAAGUGCCGCAAUAAAGGGUGAUAGCCCCGUAAUCGACAUCUCAUCAUCAGUGAAAACGAGUAGGGCGGGACACGUGAUAUCCUGUCUGAAUAUGGGGGGACCAUCCUCCAAGGCUAAAUACUACUGACUGACCGAUAGUGAACCAGUACCGUGAGGGAAAGGCGAAAAGAACCCCUGUGAGGGGAGUGAAAUAGAACCUGAAACCGUGUACGUACAAGCAGUAGGAGCACCUUCGUGGUGUGACUGCGUACCUUUUGUAUAAUGGGUCAGCGACUUAAUUUUAGUAGCAAGGUUAACCGUUUAGGGGAGCCGUAGGGAAACCGAGUCUUAACUGGGCGUACAGUUGCUAGGAUUAGACCCGAAACCAGGUGAUCUAGCCAUGGGCAGGUUGAAGGUUGAGUAACAUCAACUGGAGGACCGAACCGACUAAUGUUGAAAAAUUAGCGGAUGACUUGUGGCUAGGGGUGAAAGGCCAAUCAAACCUGGAGAUAGCUGGUUCUCCCCGAAAGCUAUUUAGGUAGCGCCUCGGACGAAUACUACUGGGGGUAGAGCACUGUUAAGGCUAGGGGGUCAUCCCGACUUACCAACCCUUUGCAAACUCCGAAUACCAGUAAGUACUAUCCGGGAGACACACGGCGGGUGCUAACGUCCGUCGUGGAGAGGGAAACAACCCAGACCGCCAGCUAAGGUCCCAAAGUAUAGCUAAGUGGGAAACGAUGUGGGAAGGCUCAGACAGCCAGGAUGUUGGCUUAGAAGCAGCCAUCAUUUAAAGAAAGCGUAAUAGCUCACUGGUCGAGUCGGCCUGCGCGGAAGAUGUAACGGGGCUAAGCUAUACACCGAAGCUGCGGCUACGUACCUUAGGGUAUGUGGGGUAGGGGAGCGUUCUGUAAGCCGUUGAAGGUGGUCUGUAAGGGCUGCUGGAGGUAUCAGAAGUGCGAAUGCUGACAUGAGUAACGAUAAAGGGAGUGAAAAACUCCCUCGCCGGAAGACCAAGGGUUCCUGUCCAACGUUAAUCGGGGCAGGGUAAGUCGACUCCUAAGGCGAGGCCGAAAGGCGUAGUCGAUGGGAAAC
rnacentral:rRNA from 1 species